ACGAACGCUGGCGGCGUGGAUAAGACAUGCAAGUCGAACGGAAUUACUUUUGUAGCAAUACAGAAGUAAUUCAGUGGCGAACGGGUGCGUAACACGUGGGCAAUCUGCCGAAAAGUGGGGGAUAGCUCGCCGAAAGGCGAAUUAAUACCGCAUGUGGUGAGGGACGACAUCUUCCUGAAUCCAAAGCCGGGGCAACCUGGCGCUUUUUGUAGGAGCCCGCCGGCCUAUCAGCNGUUGGCGGGGUAACGGCCCACCAAGGCUAUGACGGGUAGCUGGUCUGAGAGGACGACCAGUCACACUGGAACU
rnacentral:rRNA from 1 species